rnacentral:rRNA from 1 species
ACUCCUACGGGAGGCAGCAGUGGGGAAUAUUGGACAAUGGGCGAAAGCCUGAUCCAGCCAUGCCGCGUGUGUGAAGAAGGCCUUUUGGUUGUAAAGCACUUUAAGCGAGGAGGAGGCUACUUGGAUUAAUACUCUAGGAUAGUGGACGUUACUCGCAGAAUAAGCACCGGCUAACUCUGUGCCAGCAGCCGCGGUAAUACAGAGGGUGCGAGCGUUAAUCGGAUUUACUGGGCGUAAAGCGUGCGUAGGCGGCUUUUUAAGUCGGAUGUGAAAUCCCUGAGCUUAACUUAGGAAUUGCAUUCGAUACUGGGAAGCUAGAGUAUGGGAGAGGAUGGUAGAAUUCCAGGUGUAGCGGUGAAAUGCGUAGAGAUCUGGAGGAAUACCGAUGGCGAAGGCAGCCAUCUGGCCUAAUACUGACGCUGAGGUACGAAAGCAUGGGGAGCAAACAGGAUUAGAUACCCUGGUAGUCCAUGCCGUAAACGAUGUCUACUAGCCGUUGGGGCCUUUGAGGCUUUAGUGGCGCAGCUAACGCGAUAAGUAGACCGCCUGGGGAGUACGGUCGCAAGACUAAAACUCAAAGGAAUUGACGG